CAGAAUUGUCGUCAAAGUAACAACUAUGAAAGAGAUAAAAAGGUGCAUGGAGAAGGAUGUUAACGGAGUGACAAAGGUUGCAAAACUCAACGGAAUCAAAAUGACAACACUAGAAUAAAGAGCUCCAUGUACCAUCGAGCCUGUGUGGAUUAUUUGCAGCAGCAAGUGCCGAACGGCAGCAGCUUGCAUGUGCACGAUGGUAUGGAAGGUUAAUCAUGAUGAUUGCAUACAAAAUACGUAUGCCCCUGUUGCAA